UAGGGAAUAUUGGUUAAUGGGCGAAAGCCUGAACCAGCAACGCCGCGUGUGCGAUGAAGGCCUUCGGGUCGUAAAGCACUUUUUGAAGGGACGAGGAAGGACGGUACCCUCAGAAUAAGCCUCGGCUAACUACGUGCCAGCAGCCGCGGUAACACGUAGGAGGCAAGCGUUAUUCGGAUUUACUGGGUGUAAAGCGCGUGUAGGCGGUUCGGAAAGUUGGAUGUGAAAGCUCCCGGCUUAACUGGGAGAGGCCGUUCAAAACUUCC
rnacentral:rRNA from 1 species